ACCUCACAGUCAGCAGGGAGGGAGGGUCUGCUACUGAUUGGCUGGAUCAGUAGCAGACCCUCCCUCCCAGAC